UUCCUGACCAUGUGCCUGAAGGAGAGCCUGCGGUUGCAUCCCCCAAUCCCUAUAUUCGCCCGCGGCUGCACCCAGGACGUGGUGCUCCCAGACAGCCGAGUCAUCCCCAAAGGAACUGCAUCGGGCAGAAGUUCGCGAUGGCAGAGAUGAAGGUGGUCCUGGCGCUCACGCUGCUGCGCUUCCGCAUCCUGCCCGACCACAGGGAGCCACGCAGGACGCCGGAGAUUGUUUUGCGUGCGGAGGACGGACUUUGGCUGCGAGUAGAGCCCCUGGGCUGAGGCCUGCAGUGACCCACCCACCUACCUUUGCAUCACCUACCUUUGCACCAACUACCUUUUCAGAUUUCCGGUAAUAAAUCUGUGCUGGCCCCUG
rnacentral:sRNA from 1 species